CCAGUUAGAGAGCAAGGUACCUCAUAGGUAGUUUCUCAACCUUCAUCCCGGUCUCACCCUCCCCUGUCUAGUGGUGCUCAGUGUCUAUUGUUCCUCUCAGGCCUUGAGUUUCUAAUUGCCUAUGGUAUGCUUUAUUUUGUAGAGGUCCUGCUUGAAGCUUUAUUCCUCACCGUGGAUCCUUACAUGAGAUUUUUAGCCAAAACAUUGAAAGAAGGUGAUACAAUGAUGGGGCAGCAAGUGGCCAGGUAAUUAUUUCCAUUUGUCCCAAUGCUUGGAAAAUAUGUCUCCUCUUUACCUCCUGCUGGGUCCUGUCUCUGUCCAUCACUCCUACAAUUUCUUCAGCCUGUGUGGUUCACUCACUGUGUGAUCUUGGAAUCAACUUGGGAAAUCUUGUUCCCUUCCUGACUAGCUGGAAAGGAGGGAAGGGUGUGAAAUCAGCUUCACUUUGCCAUCCUUACUUUUAAUUACU